UUCUAUAUUUAUCAAAGAGUUUUCCUUAUUGGAUAAUGUAACAGCGUCGAUAGAUGGACAGUAACACUAAAUGCUGCAAUUAUCCGACACUUAAUUGUUUUGCUUGAGUGUUUAAAUCGAGGGUUGUUUGAGAGAACAAUCAGGAAGACGAUUGGAGAAAUUCUGACACAUGUUUGGAGGAAAGCAAGUAGCCGAAAAAAUAUGUAUAUCACCUAUAGUACAUCAUCGAAAUUCGCUAACCAUUUUUGAAAGUGAAAAGUGAUAAAUUCGAAAGAUGUGGUGGAAUAAUUAUUUCGUGUUUUAUUUAUUUUAUAUUCUAAAUGUCGUCGGCGAUUCCAUUGCUGUUUCCUUUCACUGUGACAGAGGAUGGGACAAAUUUGAAGAUAAAUGUUACAUGCUGUUUUCUGGAUCCAGAAACUGGCAUCAAGCUCGUGAUGAAUGUGCAGCGCAUGGGUCGACUCUUCCAAUAGUGUCAAAUAGAAGAAUCCAAAGAUUCAUCAUCAAACAGUACGGGCAUCUGCUUGGUUCACACGGCGUGUAUUUGUCUGGAAAUGAUAUUAAACAGGAGGGCAGUUGAGAAUGGUUGGAUGAGGACGAACCAUUUUCUUUUCACGCCUGGUAUAAAGGAGAACCUAGCAAUGAUAAUGGAAUUGGUGAUUGUUUACAUAUCUGGAAAACUCACGAAUAUCAGUGGAACGAUGUCCCUUGCCAUUACCCUAUCUCUAACUUCUUGUGCUCUAAAUCAGGAAGGAGAAUUCAAGCAGCUUUGUCGACAUCUUGUGGUUGCAUAAAUGGAAACCAAAACUUUUGCAAAAUUGGAGACAUAUCACAUACGAGAAAAAAACGAAGUAAUGGCAGCAGUAGAAGGCCGGAGGAGGAAGGAGACCCGGACCUCCAUUUUUUCUGAGUAGAGGACUUUGCUAUAUCACAUUUUCCUUUAGAUGCGGAUUGGUUCAUUCUUAUACUUUUUGUUGCGACCGAGAAUGGGCGAAAUGCUGAUGUUUUAUAUAUUUUAAAAAUAUUUUUUAUU